GAAUUGCUAGUAAUCGCAGAUCAGCAUGCUGCGGUGAAUACGUUCCCGGGCCUUGUACACACCGCCCGUCACACCAUGGGAGUCGGUAACACCCGAAGUCGGUAGCCUAACCGUAAGGAGGGCGCCGCCGAAGGUGGGAUUGAUGACUGGGGUGAAGUCGUAACAAGGUAAC
rnacentral:rRNA from 1 species